rnacentral:lncRNA from 1 species
GAAAUCAUCUCUUUUGUCGUAAAGUUUUGUUUUCAAUCGACCCUCAGUGUCAAUUUCUAGAUGUAAGUCAAGAUGUGAGGCCGACUUAACUGUAUCUGUAGUAUCCUUUAUCUCUAGCUCGAUUGGAUAGAUGCGUUCCACAUAGUCACCAAAUUUUGAAACUGAUAAGACUUAGUGAGGUGAACUUUGGAAGUAAAAAAGAUUUCCCAAACAAAUUACAGGCAUAUAGGUAUAUUUUGGAGUACGUAAAAUCCAUCUUUAUUAUGGUAGUAUACAUCACAAGCUUAGAAACAAAGAGAUAGUUAUCCAAUGGAAUCUACACACAGUUGUACCCCUUUUUAUUGACACCAUAAGCGUCCCCUAUAAUCAUACACAAUAUUCUGAAUUUCCCGAUCAUGAAAUUAUUACUAAUGUUGUCAAUACCAAAGUAGGUUGACUUACGUAGGAUUAAACUGUUUUGUUCGAUGAAACAAAUGCUUGACACAGUUGUGCAUUUUUCUCUUCAAACAUUGGUUAACAUCUGGGACAAUCUGCAUCAAUAACCACAAGCUGUGUUUACAAAUAUCAAUUAAACUUAUUAAACGCAAUCAUAUUUUUCUGAAUGAAGGCAUUAAGAAUAAAAAAUAACAUCAAACAGUUUAAGUGGAGGUUACAGUUAAACAUUUUUUUCUAUAUUUUGUUUUAAUCAAAACAUUGAACUUAAGAAACUAAAAUCAACCCAAUCUAACCCUUUAGUGUAUAGAUAGAGUUAUAAACCUCAAAAUUCACAUAAAAUCAACUUCAACAUUGGAAAACAAAAUCAAACAGGUUAAACAUUCUUUAAGAUUUAACUACGGUCAAAGGGACAUAACUUUGAUUAUUUUUUUUAUAAUGAGCUAUAAUGGAAAAGGAGUAGCAGCUAGAAACGGCAAACCAUUACUUUUAACUUACAUAAAAAAAAAAAGACCAAUGUAGAUACAAGUGUCUUGUCUUAGGGAGGGAUAAAUCCUACUUUGUAAAGGAUCACUCUGAUUCAAACAAAAAAUCCUCUGAAUCUGACAUUAUCAAGAUGCUUGAUUUCUUGAUUGACAACAUAUUUGUUACGUUCGGAGGACGUGUUUUUCAACAGACUGUCGGCAUUCCAAUGGGAACCAAUUGUGCCCCUCUUCUUGCCGACUUGUUUCAUUAUUAUUAUGAGGCUGACUUCAUACAGGGA